rnacentral:rRNA from 1 species
AAUAGAUACCCGGGUAGUCCACGCCGUAAACGAUGAAUACUGGGUGUAGGGGUUAUCAUGACCUCUGUGCCGCCGCUAACGCAUUAAGUAUUCCGCCUGGGGAGUACGGUCGCAAGAUUAAAACUCAAAGGAAUUGACGGGGGCCCGCACAAGCAGCGGAGCAUGUGGUUUAAUUCGAAGCAACGCGAAGAACCUUACCUAGACUUGACAUCUCCUGAAUUACUCUGUAAUGGAGGAAGCCCUUCGGGGCAGGAAGACAGGUGGUGCAUGGUUGUCGUCAGCUCGUGUCGUGAGAUGUUGGGUUAAGUCCCGCAACGAGCGCAACCCUUAUUGUUAGUUGCUACCAUUUAGUUGAGCACUCUAGCGAGACUGCCCGGGUUAACCGGGAGGAAGGUGGGGAUGACGUCAAAUCAUCAUGCCCCUUAUGUCUAGGGCUACACACGUGCUACAAUGGCCGGUACAGUAAGAUGCAAUACCGUGAGGUGGAGCAAAACUCAAAAACCGGUCUCAGUUCGGAUUGUAGGCUGAAACUCGCCUACA